rnacentral:rRNA from 1 species
UACGUAGGGGGCAAGCGUUGUCCGGAAUCAUUGGGCGUAAAGCGCGUGUAGGCGGUUCAGUAAGUCUGCUGUGAAAGUCCAGGGCUCAACCCUGGGAUGCCGGUGGAUACUGCUGGACUAGAGUGCGGAAGAGGCGAGUGGAAUUCCCGGUGUAGCGGUGAAAUGCGCAGAUAUCGGGGGGAACACCAAUUGCGAAGGCAGCUCGCUGGGACGUUACUGACGCUGAGACGCGAAAGCGUGGGGAGCAAACAGG